GGAUGCGAUCGUACCAGCACUAAAGCACCGGAUCCCAUCAGAACUCCGAAGUCAAGCGUGCUUGGGCAAGAGUAGUACUAGGAUGGGUGACCUCCUGGGAAGUCCUCAUGUUACAUUCC
rnacentral:rRNA from 1 species